GGAGGGUGCAAGCGUUGUUCGGAAUUAUUGGGCGUAAAGAGCGUGUAGGCGGUCCGGUAAGUCAGAUGUGAAAGCCCUGGGCUCAACCCAGGAAGUGCAUUUGAAACUACCAGACUUGAGUACGGGAGAGGAGGGGGAAUUCCCGGUGUAGAGGUGAAAUUCGUAGAUAUCGGGAGGAAUACCAGUGGCGAAGGCGCCCUCUGGACCGAUACUGACGCUGAGACGCGAAAGCGUGGGGAGCAAACAGGAUUAGAUACCCUGGUAGUCCACGCCGUAAACGAUGAGCACUAGGUGUAGCGGGUAUUGACCCCCCUGCUGUGCCCGUAGCUAACGCAUUAAGUGCUCCGCCUGGGGACUACGGUCGCAAGACUA
rnacentral:rRNA from 1 species